GAUGAAGAACGCAGCGAAAUGCGAUAAGUAAUGUGAAUUGCAGAAUUCAGUGAAUCAUCGAAUCUUUGAACGCACAUUGCGCCCCCUGGUAUUCCGGGGGGCAUGCCUGUUCGAGCGUCAUUUCAACCCUCAAUCUCUGCUUGGUAUUGAGUCCAUGUCAGCAAUGGCAGGCUCCAAAAUCAGUGGCGGCGCCGCUGGGUCCUGAACGUAGUAAUAUCUCUCGUUACAGGUGCUCGGCGUGCUUCUGCCAAAACCCCAAUUUUUCUAUGGUUGACCUCGGAUCAGGUAGGGAUACCCGCUGAACUUAAGCAUAUCAAUAAGCGGAGGA
rnacentral:misc_RNA from 1 species